GGCCGACUAGCUCAGUUGGUUAGAGCAUCUGGAAUAUAACCAGAAGGUCCUGGGUUCAAUCCCCAGUCUGGUCA
rfam:Lentinula edodes NBRC 111202 DNA, contig: scaffold1462.